rnacentral:rRNA from 1 species
GACGAACGCUGGCGGCGUGCCUAACACAUGCAAGUCGAGCGGGACUAUGCGAAGCACUGAUAGACCAUUGGUAGAUAAUACGAAGGGGCGACAGCACAUGAAAUUGCGAAGCAAUUUCAUUACGCCCAUUAGAGUGACUAACACAACGGGCUACUGUUUUUGAAAAAUGGUGUAUCAGUGCUUUGUAUAGUUUAGCGGCGGACGGGUGAGUAACGCGUGAGUAACCUGCCUUUUAGUGGGGAAUAACGUUUCGAAAGAAACGCUAAUACCGCAUAAAGCAGUUUUGCCGCAUGGUGAAACUGCCAAAAGAUUUAUCGCUGAAAGAUGGACUCGCGUCCGAUUAGUUAGUUGGUGGGGUAACGGCUCACCAAGACUUCGAUCGGUAGCCGAACUGAGAGGUUGAACGGCCACAUUGGGACUGAGACACGGCCCAGACUCCUACGGGAGGCAGCAGUGGGGAAUAUUGCGCAAUGGGGGAAACCCUGACGCAGCAACGCCGCGUGAAA